CCUUGACAUGCAGAGAACUUCCAGAGAUGGAUGGUGCCUUCGGGAACUCUGACACAGGUGCUGCAUGGCUGUCGUCAGCUCGUGUCGGUGAGAUGUUGGGUUAAGUCCCGUAACGAGCGCAACCCUUGUCCUUAGUUACCAGCACGUUAUGGUGGGCACUCUAAGGAGACUGCCGGUGACAAACCGGAGGAAGGUGGGGAUGACGUCAAGUCAUCAUGGCCCUUACGGCCUGGGCUACACACGUGCUACAAUGGUCGGUACAAAGGGUUGCCAAGCCGCGAGGUGGAGCUAAUCCCAUAAAACCGAUCGUAGUCCGGAUCGCAGUCUGCAACUCGACUGCGUGAAGUCGGAAUCGCUAGUAAUCGUGAAUCAGAAUGUCACGGUGAAUACGUUCCCGGGCCUU
rnacentral:rRNA from 1 species